UAACAGAGGGUUUGAUUAUGGCUCAGAUUGAACGCUGGCAGGAUGUACUUUACACAUGCAGUCGAACGGCAACACGGACUUCAGUCUGGUGGCGAGUGGCGAACGGGUGAGUAAUGUAUCGGAACGUGCCUAGUAGCGGGGGAUAACUACGCGAAAGCGUAGCUAAUACCGCAUACGCCCUUCGAAGCGGGGGACCUUCGGGCCUCGCACUAUUAGAGCGGCCGAUAUCGGAUUAGCUAGUUGGUGGGGGUAACGGCUCACCAAGGCGACGAUCCGUAGCUGGUUUGAGAGGACGACCAGCCACACUGGGACUGAGACACGGCCCAGACUCCUACGGGAGGCAGCAGUGGGGAAUUUUGGACAAUGGAAGCCUGAUCCAGCCAUCCCGCGUGUGCGAUGAAGGCCUUCGGGUUGUAAAGCACUUUUGGCGGAAAGAAACGGCGGGAUAUUACCCCGUGCAACUGACAGUACCUGCAGAAUAAGCGCAAGCUAACUACGUGCCAGCAGCCGCGGUAAUACGUAGGGUGCAAGCGUUAAUCGGAAUUACUGGGCGUAAAGCGUGCGCAGGCGGUUCGGAAAGAAGAUGUGAAAUCCCAGAGCUUAACUUUGGAACUGCAUUUUUAACUACCGAGCUAGAGUGUGUCAGAGGGAGGUGGAAUUCCGCGUGUAGCAGUGAAAUGCGUAGAUAUGCGGAGGAACACCGAUAGCGAGAGCGGCCUCUGGGAUAACACUGACCGCUCAUGCACGAAAGCGUGGGAGCAAACAGGAUUAGAUACCCUGGUAGUCACGCCCUAAACGAUGUCAACUAGCUGUUGGGGCCUUCGGGCCUUGGUAGCGCAGCUAACACGUGAGAUUGACUGCCUGGGGAGUACGGUCGCAAGAUUAAACCUCAAAAUUGACGGGGACCCGCACAAGCGGUGGAUGAUGUGGAUUAAUUCGAUGCAACGCGAAAAACCUUACCUACCCUUGACAUGUCUGGAAUCCCGAAGAGAUUUGGGAGUGCUCGCAAGAGAACAGGAACACGGGUGCUGCAUGGCUGUCGUCAGCUCGUGUCGUGAGAUGUUGGGUUAAGUCCCGCAACGAGCGCAACCCUUGUCAUUAGUUGCUACGAAAGGGCACUCUAAUGAGACUGUCGGUGACAAACAGGAGGAAGGUGGGGAUGACGUCAAGUCCUCAUGGCCCAUAUGGGUAGGGCUUCACACGUCAUACAAUGGUCGGGACGAGGUCGCCAACCCACCCGAGGAGCCAAUCAGAAACCCGAUCGUAGUCCGGAUCGCAGUCUGCAACUCGACUGCGUGAAGUCGGAAUCGCUAGUAAUCGCGGAUCAGCAUGUCGCGGUGAAUACGUUCCCGGGUCUUGUACACACCGCCCGUCACACCAUGGGAGUGGGUUUUACCAAGUAGUUAGCCUAACCGUAAGGAGGGCGAUUACUACGGUAGGAUUCAUGACUGGGGUGAAGUCGUAACAAGGUAA
rnacentral:rRNA from 1 species